CGAACCCGCGCGGGAGAGCUCGGCGACACAGCACCACGUCUGGUCGCCGGCGCCGAAGGAGCAAGUCCUCCCCCGAAUCUCUCAGGCACAACACCGCACGGGCGAG
rnacentral:ncRNA from 1 species